UACCAGGGUUGACAUACAAGUGGUAGAGAACGCGAAAGCGGAUCGACCCUUCGGGGAGCUUGUACAGGUGCUGCAUGGCUGUCGUCAGCUCGUGUCGUGAGAUGUUCGGUUAAGUCCGCUAACGAGCGCAACCCUCGCUGUGUGUUACAAGUGUCACACGGAACUGCCGGUCAUAAACCGGAGGAAGGUGGGAUGACGUCAAGUCAGCAUGGCCUUUAUAUCCUGGGCUACACACACGCUACAAUGGGAAGGGACAAUAGGUUGCGAAGCCGCGAGGCGGAGCCAAUCCAGCAAAACUUCCCUCAGUUCAGAUUGCAGGCUACAACUCGCCUGCAUGAAGUUGGAGUUGCUAGUAAACGCAGGUCAGCCAUACUGCGUUGAAUACGUUCCCGGGGCUU
rnacentral:rRNA from 1 species